rnacentral:lncRNA from 1 species
GGUCAUUGGGUCCUCUGUGUGUCAUUCAGAGAGUGAGAGAGAGAGAGAGAGAGAGAGAGAGAGAGAGAGAGAGAGAGAGAGAGAGAGAGAGAGAGAGAGAGAGAGAGAGAGAGAGAGAGAGAGAGAGAGAGCGAGAGAGAGAGAGAGAUAGAGAGAGAGAGAGAGAGAGAGAGAGAGAGAGAGAGAGAGAGAGAGAGAGAGAGAGAGAGAAAGAGAGAGAGAGAGAGAGAGAGAAAGAUAGACAUGCACACUCACACACACACACCAGAGUAACGCUGGCUGUUGCUCCACAGAUGAUUUCCACACACGCGGUUUGUUUUCAAGAAGAUUAGCAAGGUUGUGUCUGGAUCGGCAGGAAAUCCUGUAGGAUUAACAGUGUGAAGCUAUCACUAAUGAUGGAUCAUAGUCGUGUUCCUGCCUAUUGUCCCGAUGUGUCCAGAGGUUGCUAUGAGACGGACCACAUUAGAGGUGAAGCAACAGAGUAUGAAGGUUAGAGCGUGGAUAAUCAUCAUGUAGAAGCACACAGGCUCUGGUCAACACCUAAUCGACUUCCUCUGAAGGAUCUGCUUAAAGGUAGCGCACUGAACACUUAUUUAGUCAAUUUAGUUAGCGGUUCUAGAGCACUUGUUUUAGUAACUACUCAUUUCUUUGAAAUGACUGCUUUGAUAUUGAUUGUUUGUUUUGAUGUCUUUGGAUUAAAGCAUCGGCUAAAUUAUUAAAUUUAAAAGUAAAUGUAGGUGUGCGUUGUUGUUCAAUAUCAUUUUGGGAGAAGGGAAUCGACUGCCUGUGUUGGACCUUAAUGCUACUUCAAGCAUUGAGUUAUGAUUUCUAUUGCAGAUUCAAGGACACAAUGAAGUUUGUUUUGUUUGUGAUUUUCUUCGCAAUGACCUGCCAUGUGAAUUACGGGCAUCACUAUGGCAGCAGCAACUCUGAUAGUGAUGAGAGGUUCUACCCCUACCUGUUCCCCACCUUCCAGUGGUACCGCCCCAGACCUCCGCCCAUCCGCUACCCCUUCCUGUUCUGGCCUGUGUACCCGAGGCCCCUGCCUGCUCCGGCCCCUCCUCCGGCCCCACCUCCGGCCCCACCUCGGACCCCGGCCCCUACGCCCCUGACCUCGACCCCCGCCCGGACCCCUGGCCGCGGGGACAUGGACGUCUAACCACUGAAGACUAACCGCUAAAGAGCCGCAAAUUACCCCGGGGCCGAGCCAGAUGCUACAAAGCACCGUUUGUCAAGAUAGAAACUAAACAUGCAAUACGCUUCAGCCUGGUGCGAUCGCCUCAACAUGUGUGUGUGUGUGUGUGUGUGUGUGUGUGUUUCCGUAUGCAUGUUGCUUCUGCUGUGUUGAAAUGCUUGCUUUUCGUGUUGAUGUUGCAUUAGUCAGUGUUGUGUGACAGUAUUGGUUAGGGAUUGUUUUGGCUUCAUAUAAGAUGGGGUCAUCUUAUAUCACAAGGUUAGAAAACCAAUAGAAUGUAUUCACUCAUCAUUCAUUCAUCAUCAAUAACCAUUGAUUGGUGCCUUAAGAAGGGGUGGGACUGGUGUUUAAGGGCGGUAGUGGGUGGGGUGGUGGAGGGUGGAGCACCGAUGCUGCUCCAGGGUGAUAUUUACCAUGCAGGGCCCAUCAUAAGCAGGGGGAUUACCUCUCAGCCAGUAAUAACCGGGCUUAGUCCUAAAGACGGCUGCGCUUUUGGCUUCAGCAUUACUCAGCAGAUGCUGCUGUUCCCAGUGGUUAUGUCCUGACUCUACUGCGUGCACUGCUACCAAAACCACUGCCGUCGGCUUCCCUGUACUGUAGCAGAGAAAUACUCCACCCUCUCGCAACAGUGAUAUUCUUGCCAUGGUUUUUACAUGACUUUCUUCCAAUACCGAUAACGAAUGUAUCCUUUAAUGCAUAAAUAAAUAUAAACAAAUAUAAAUGCAUUGCUUGAGGAUUUAUGUGUUUUACAUUGUUGGAUUAGUGUGUGUGUGUGUGUGUGUGUGUGUGUGUGUGUGUGUGUGUGUGUGUGUGUGUGUGUGUGUGUGUGUGUGUGUGUGUGUGUGUGUGUGCCUGUCUGUCUCUCUGUCUGUGUUUGAGUUGAUGGGUGUGUAUUUGCAAGUUGGUGUGUUCAUGUUCGUGUGCAUGCAGGAGCAUGUGUGUGCGCGCACGCGCGUGUGUGUUGUGGUAACCCGGUCCUCGUUGUCGCCG